rnacentral:lncRNA from 1 species
GGGUAAAUCAGCUACAGAGUCGACAGCUGGGUUUAUAGAAGCGUUCAAAUUGUCUUCCCGGUUCAGAUUAUCUCCAGCAAGCUUUUUCGUGGCGGCGAUCUCUAAAAGUUUGUUAAAAUUUAGUUCUUAUGAACUUCAAGGUAAGCUUAAUACCUCUCUCUGUUUCGCGUUCCAAAACACCGUAAGUCCUCAGUUGAUAGUUGCUCGCUGGCAGCCGGCUACCAGUUAGCAGCUGAAGCAACCUCUGGUCCCUAGCAGUCAUGUUUUGCAUAAGAAGCAUUCGUCGAUAACAGCAAUCGGCUCUUUUACGAGGCCUUAGCAGAUCUUUUGUGCUACGGAGCUGGUUCUGUAGCAGCCUACCAAAACCCGGGAGUCAGAGUUGUAAACGAAUUUAUGAUACUCGGCUUACUCGUUCGAUAGCAUGGUCGACAUAUCAAACGCAAGCCGCUUCCGCUUGUUACUGGUCCUGACGUUGCUGCGUAUCACAGCGCAUGAUUUCUGAGGUGUUCUUGGAGCGAAGGCCAA